AAUCUGUGUUUUGGCACUUCCGCAAGAGGUCCUUGAAACACUCCCAUGUCUCAAACAAUGACUCGAGCUCCAUCUGUAUAAAUAAAGAAAUCUUAUUACGAAGCCU